AUUGAACGCUGGCGGAAUGCUUUACACAUGCAAGUCGAACGGCAGCACGGACUUCGAUCUGGUGGCGAGUGGCGAACGGGUGAGUAAUGUAUCGGAACGUGCCCAGUCGUGGGGGAUAACGUAGUGAAAAUUACGCUAAUACCGCAUACGAUCUAUGGAUGAAAGCGGGGGAUCGCAAGACCUCGCGCGAUUGGAGCGGCCGAUAUCAGAUUAGGUAGUUGGUGGGGUAAAGGCUCACCAAGCCAACGAUCUGUAGCUGGUCUGAGAGGACGACCAGCCACACUGGAACUGAGACACGGUCCAGACUCCUACGGGAGGCAGCAGUGGGGAAUUUUGGACAAUGGACGCAAGUCUGAUCCAGCCAUUCCGCGUGCAGGAUGAAGGCCCUCGGGUUGUAAACUGCUUUUGUACGGAACGAAAAGGUUUCCAUUAAUACUGGGAGCUCAUGACGGUACCGUAAGAAUAAGCACCGGCUAACUACGUGCCAGCCGCCGCUGUAA
rnacentral:rRNA from 1 species